UGGGUUGGCUUUAUGUAGUUGGAAGGCAGUUUUCUCUGCUUGAAAUCAGAGAUUUCUCAGAGGAGGAAAAACAAACAAGCAAACAACAAAAAAAGUUUACAGCUUUUUCUUUUUUUUUUAAAAGUUUGAGACAUUAUUCACAUUUAUACUCACAGUUCCAUACAGCUUCCCCUUGUUGUUCAUUCCAACGAAGAGAGCACUUUCCACACCAAACAGGCUUACAACACCUCUUUCUACAGUAGAUAUUUCAAAGAGGCCUAAAAAAUAAGUUGCAGAACAGCAGCCAUAAGAACAAG
rnacentral:lncRNA from 1 species